rnacentral:rRNA from 1 species
GAUGAACGCUGGCGGCGUGCUUAACACAUGCAAGUCGAACGAUGAAGCCCAGCUUGCUGGGUGGAUUAGUGGCGAACGGGCGAGUAACACGUGAGUAACCUGCCCUUAACUCUGGGAUAAGCCUGGGAAACUGGGUCUAAUACCGGAUAGGAGCGUCCACCGCAUGGUGGGUGUUGGAAAGAUUUAUCGGUUUUGGAUGGACUCGCGGCCUAUCAGCUUGUUGGUGAGGUAAUGGCUCACCAAGGCGACGACGGGUAGCCGGCCUGAGAGGGUGACCGGCCACACUGGGACUGAGACACGGCCCAGACUCCUACGGGAGGCAGCAGUGGGGAAUAUUGCACAAUGGGCGCAAGCCUGAUGCAGCGACGCCGCGUGGGGGAUGACGGCCUUCGGGUUGUAAACCUCUUUCAGUAGGGAAGAAGCGAAAGUGACGGUACCUGCAGAAGAAGCACCGGCUAACUACGU